GAAAAUUAGGCGUCAAUAUGGUAUGUGGUUAGGCCAUAUGCUAAAUGUCAUGUUGUGUUCUAUCAAAUAUAGAAAAGUACAUUGUAGAAUCUCCAUCGUCCAUUUUGAAUUGAAACUAGUUCGAGAUCAACUCGAAAUCAUUGAAUGCGGUCUGGGUCAUUCAGCAAAAUCAGGUGUUAAAUGUUGUACGGGGAAAACAUUGCAAACACAACAAUAUUACUUGCUGUUUCUAAUUUUGAUUUAUCUAGUGAUAGCUAAAACACUAUUUUGUACUUAAUAUAAUCUGUA
rnacentral:lncRNA from 1 species